UGCAGAGAUGCGGGAGUGCCUUCGGGAAUUAGAAUACAGGUGCUGCAUGGCUGUCGUCAGCUCGUGUCGUGAGAUGUUGGGUUAAGUCCCGCAACGAGCGCAACCCUUGUCCUUAGUUACCAGCGGGUUAAGCCGGGAACUCUAAGGAUACUGCCAGUGACAAACUGGAGGAAGGCGGGGACGACGUCAAGUCAUCAUGGCCCUUACGACCAGGGCUACACACGUGCUACAAUGGUAGGUACAGAGGGCAGCUACACAGCGAUGUGAUGCGAAUCUCAAAAGCCUAUCGUAGUCCAGAUUGGAGUCUGCAACUCGACUCCAUGAAGUAGGAAUCGCUAGUAAUCGCGGAUCAGAAUGCCGCGGUGAAUACGUUCCCGGGCCUUGUACACACCGCCCGUCGACGCGGCCG
rnacentral:rRNA from 1 species